rnacentral:rRNA from 1 species
AUUGAACGCUGGCGGCAGGCCUAACACAUGCAAGUCGAACGGUAACAGGAAGAAGCUUGCUUCUUUGCUGACGAGUGGCGGACGGGUGAGUAAUGUCUGGGAAACUGCCUGAUGGAGGGGGAUACUACUGGAAACGGUAGCUAAUACCGCAUAACGUCGCAAGACCAAAAAGGGGGACCUUCGGGCCUCUUGCCAUCGGAUGUGCCCAGAUGGGAUUAGCUAGUAGGUGGGGUAACGGCUCACCUAGGCGACGAUCCCUAGCUGGUCUGAGAGGAUGACCAGCCACACUGGAACUGAGACACGGUCCAGACUCCUACGGGAGGCAGCAGUGGGGAAUAUUGCACAAUGGGCGCAAGCCUGAUGCAGCCAUGCCGCGUGUAUGAAGAAGGCCUUCGGGUUGUAAAGUACUUUCAGCGGGGAGGAAGGGAGUAAAGUUAAUACCUUUGCUCAUUGACGUUACCCGCAGAAGAAGCACCGGCUAACUCCGUG